GACGAACGCUGGCGGCGUGCCUAAUACAUGCAAGUAGAACGCUGAAGGAGGAGCUUGCUCUUCUGGAUGAGUUGCGAACGGGUGAGUAACGCGUAGGUAACCUGCCUGGUAGCGGGGGAUACCUCUUGGAAACGCUAGCUAAUACCGCAUAAGAGUAGUUGUUGCAUGACAUUUACUUAAAAGGUGCACUUGCAUCACUACCAGAUGGACCUGCGUUGUAUUAGCUAGUUGGUGGGGUAACGGCUUACCAAGGCGACGAUACAUAGCCGACCUGAGAGGGGGAUCGGCCACCCUGGGACUGGGACACGGCCCAGACUCCUACGGGAGGCAGCAGUAGGGAAUCUACGGCAAUGGACGGAAGUCUGACCGAGCAACGCCGCGUGAGUGAAGAAGGUUUUCGGAUCGUAAAGCUCUGUUGUAAGAGAAGAACGAGUGUGAGAGUGGAAAGUUCACACUGUGACGGUAUCUGACCAGAAAGAGACGGCUAACUACGUG
rnacentral:rRNA from 1 species